AGAGUUUGAUCCUGGCUCAGAUUGAACGCUGGCGGCACGCUUUACACAUGCAAGUCGAGCGGCAGCGCGAGGGUGCUUGCACCCUUGGCGGCGAGCGGCGGACGGGUGAGUAACGCAUGGGAAUAUGCCCGACAGUGGGGGAUAACCUUGGGAAACCAGGGCUAAUACCGCAUACACUCCACGGAGAAAAGCGGGGGAUCUUCGGACCUCGCGCUGACGGAGUAGCCCAUGUCCGAUUAGCUUGUUGGCGGGGUAACGGCCCACCAAGGCGACGAUCGGUAGCUGGUCUGAGAGGAUGAUCAGCCACACCGGGACUGAGACACGGCCCGGACUCCUACGGGAGGCAGCAGUGGGGAAUCUUGGACAAUGGGCGCAAGCCUGAUCCAGCCAUGCCGCGUGAGUGAAGAAGGCCUUCGGGUUGUAAAGCUCUUUCAGCGGAGACGAUGAUGACGGUAUCCGCAGAAGAAGCCCCGGCUAACUUCGUGCCAGCAGCCGCGGUAAUACGAAGGGGGCUAGCGUUGUUCGGAAUUACUGGGCGUAAAGGGCGCGUAGGUGGCGUUGCAAGCGGGUGGUGAAAUCCCUGGGCUCAACCCAGGAAUUGCCAUCCGAACUGUGGUGCUCGAGUUCGGAAGAGGGUAACGGAAUUCCCAGUGGAGAGGUGGAAUUCGUAGAGAUUGGGAAGAACACCAGAAGCGAAGGCGGUUAUCUGGUCCGAAACUGACACUGAUGCGCGAAAGCGUGGGUAGCAAACAGGAUUAGAUACCCUGGUAGUCCACGCCCUAAACGAUGUCCGCUAGCUAUUGGGCGCAGGCCCAGUGGCGAAGCUAACGCGUUAAGCGGACCGCCUGGGGAGUACGGU
rnacentral:rRNA from 1 species